GCCCAGUGACCACAGUUCAACGGCCGCGGUAUCCUGACCGUGCGAAGGUAGCGUAAUCACUUGUUCUUUAAAUAAGGACUAGUAUGAACGGCAUCACGAGGGUUAUACUGUCUCCUUUUUCCAAUCAGUGAAACUAAUCUCCCCGUGAAGAAGCGGGGAUAAUUCUAUAAGACGAGAAGACCCUAUGGAGCUUUAAAUUUUAUUACAACUGCCCGAUUUAUUUGCUAGUCCUGACUUCAUCUAUCAAAUUCAGCAUUAUGAUAAUAAAUUUUAGGUUGGGGUGACCACGGAGCACAAAAAAACCUCCGCAUUGAACUAAGCUUAAAAGCUUUUAGCAAAGAACCACAACUCUAUGCAAUAACACAUUAACAUUCAUUGACCCAAUAUUUUGAUCAACGGACCAAGUUACCCUAGGGAUAACAGCGCAAUCUACUUUGAGAGCUCCUAUCGACAAGUGGGUUUACGACCUCGAUGUUGGAUCAGGGUAUCCCAGUGGUGCAGCCGCUACUAAUGGUUCGUUUGUUCAACGAUUAAAACCCUACGUGA
rnacentral:rRNA from 1 species